GGUCCGGGGCGCAAGGCCGGACCGGACUGCUGGGAUCUUUCUCGGCUCGGGGGAGGGCGGCUCUUGGGGCCCGGACGCUUGGUGCUCUCCUCGCUGCCCCCUCGAGGUGACCCCGCUAACUGGCUCCCGCCCGCGCCCGGCUAGGUGCCGGCGGCUGCUCGGGGCCGCGUCCAUGCGCUGGGGCCUGCGCGUGGGCCGGGGCCUCCUGCACGCCGCGCGGGGCGGGUGUUCGCGAGCCAUGGCCGAUCGGAGCAGCGUCGUCACCGCCGGCAUCAUCGUCAUCGGGGACGAGAUCCUCAAGGGACACACCCAGGACACAAACUCCUUCUUCAUGUGCAAGAAGCUGCGCUCACUGGGGGUGAAGGUGGAGCGGAUCUCGGUGGUCCCCGACGACGUGGAUGCCAUUGCGGGCGAGAUCACCUCCUUCGCCGCCAGGUUCACCUACGUCCUGACCUCGGGGGGCAUCGGUCCCACUCACGAUGAUGUCACCUUUGAGGCAGUGGCCCAGGCCUUUGGGGAGCGGGUUGUCCCCCACCCGCAUCUGGUGGCCCUGGUGCACAAGUUUUUUGGCAAGACUGACCCUGAGUGCCCCGAGAUGAAGCUGGCUUGUGUGCCCGAAUCCUCGCAACUGAACUAUGGCACAGACCAGCGCACAGGUGCCGCUGCCAAAUACCCACUGGUCAGUGUGCGCAAUGUCUACCUCUUCCCAGGCAUACCAGCACUGAUGGAGCGGGCGCUGGAGGGGCUCAAUCACCUCUUCCGCAAUGAGCAAACCCGCUUCUACUCUCGGGAGAUCUACGUGGGGGCCGACGAGACCUGCAUCGCAGCCGUGCUCAGCCAGGCGCAGGCCAGCUUUGGGAAUCUCACUAGCUUGGGCUCCUACCCAGACUGGGCCAGCAAUUACUACCGUGUGAAGCUGACCCUGGACUCAGAGUCGGAGCAGCACCUGGAGGAAGCCUACCGCUUCCUGAUGGAGCGGCUGCCCGCUGGCACUGUGGUGCCCCUGGUCACGGACCCUGUGGCGCAGGCGGCCGUGGUGGUGUACGCUCUGGCUGAGUCCGGUUCUGCCCUGGGCCAGAAGGUGGCGGCAGCGCUGCAGACCAUUGAGGAGGCCCUGGACCGCUUCGGUCUGGACAGGGUCUGCGCCGGCUUCAAUGGGGGCAAGGACUGCACGGCCCUGCUGCACCUGUUCCAUGCUGCCACGCAGAGGCGAUACCCAGGGCAUGUGGAACAGCUGCAGGUGCUCUACAUCCGUAUCCCGUCCCCCUUCCCUGAGAUGGAGCAGUUCAUCCAGGCCACCACCCACAGGUACAACCUCCGGCUGCACGUGCUGCAAGGUGACAUCCGGCAGGCCCUGGCUGAGCUGCGGGUGCAGCACCCUAAGCUGGAGGCUGUGCUGAUGGGCACGCGCCGUACUGACCCCUACUCCUGCACGCUGACACCCAUGUGCAUGACUGACCCUGGCUGGCCCCCAUACAUGCGGGUGAACCCCCUCCUGGACUGGACGUACCGGGACAUCUGGGAGUUCCUGCGCACACUCUUCAUCCCCUAUUGCAUCCUCUAUGACAAGGGCUACACCUCCCUGGGGAGCAUGAGCAACACGCAGAAGAACCCAGCGCUGCGCUGCACCAAUGCCCUGGGCAGGGAGAGCUACCGCCCAGCCUACCUGCUGGAGAACGAGGAGGAUGAGCGCACCUCCCGCCAGUGACAGGCGCAGGUGCUGGGCCCCCCCUGCCUCUGCUGUGCGCCAGCCCCUUGGGGCAUGGCCUUAUCCUGGCACUGCAGCUGCUGCCCCAUCUAGGCCUUGAAAGGAGCAGGAGCAUGGCUCUGGCACCGGGCAGGGUGCACAGUCCCCUGUGGCACUGGCUCCAGGUGCCCCAGGUGCUGUCCCUGAACAGAAGGGUGGAGCUGGCAGGUGAGAAGAAACCUGCUUCUCUCAACCUACGCCGGCCCCAGUUCCCCCAUGGGGAAGGGGACAGAGUCUGACUCUCCUGGGAGCCAAAGACAGGAUGCCUGGGCCGGUUCCAUUCAGCUCCAGCCCCAUGCAGCAAGUGUGGGCUGCGUGGGGGUGACCACACCUGCCCUGCCCCCAGUCAGCAGUGCCACCCCUCCCCCACAGGGCUGGUUGCUGCCCGUUAAGCUGUGGAGAAUGUGGCUGCAGUUUCCAGCACUUGCGCUGAGCCGCACUGGCUGUCACGUGCCUGCCGGUGGCAGAUACGGCUGAUCACUAGCCAUGCACCUCCUGGAGAGCCUCCUGGCCCCAGGGCCCCGGCCCCUCCUGGUGCAGCCGGGCCCCUACCCCCUAUGGCGGUCGGCUCGGGCUGUGGCACUGCCAGGGCCCCCCACCAAGCGCUUUGUGGGCCUCUCCCUGGGCUGCUGGUUGCUGCGCCUGCUGCGCCAGUGUGUCUACGCCUUGCUGUGUUGCUGGUGCAUCCACGAGCUGCUGGACUAGGCCCCAUGUGCGUCCCUGCACCCUGGUUUUUGGACUUGGAGCUGAGGCCUAGCUCUAUCCCACCACGGUUGGGGGGGGACCUGAGCCUAGAGCAGGAAGCCUGGCGUGGACCCCCAGCACGGCAGUGUCCCAACGGGGUGGAAAGACUUGGUGUGUGGCCCCAGCUCCCCAAUAAAAUGCCCUGACUGAC